UAGGCACGGAGUAGCAGGACAACGGUAGA
rnacentral:piRNA from 1 species